AAACCCAAAAUCUACUUUUUUCUAUUGAGAAAAGAAUAUUUCUAGUAUUCAUUAUUACCUUUGGUGUGUACACAUGUGGACCAAGUAAUUGCUCUUCUAGCUUAACUAUACAUUUCUCUUUGUUUAGAAAAGGCUUGAGAUCUAUUUCUGGACACCGAGAGCCUACUAUGUUGCCAAAGAUCUUUGUAAGACAUUUAUAAGAAAGAAGAGCUCACUUGAUUCAUAAUGGAAAUUUGAGUUUUGAAAAUGAAAGUCUCAAAUCUACCUUAAGAGUAUCAGAAUUAUUUUCCUCCUUAACAUGCAGUGAUAGUCUAGAAUAAUUUUAUCACCACCUGGAGUAAACAAUAAGCAACCGCGCAAAGAAGAGAUUCUAUGAUGUCACAAUGGUACUGUUAGGCGAUAGAAUACUCAUAGAUGAGGAGCUGUAGAAGAGACCAGCUAAGAUAGGAUCAGCCUAGGCCUAUUUGAGUCCCUGCCAGAAAUGUUCGACAUCAUCCCACCAACCAAGAAAAUAGCCUGCUUCUCGCUUGACAGAUCAAGGAAGAAGGAAGUGGAGGAGACAACAGAACAACAAGAUCUGCCGAAAGGACAUCCAGGACCUGGUGGCCGCUGCCCAAGCCAUGUGCCCUCCCAAUACCCAACAACCGGAGAUUCUUUGCUAGGGAGACCUAAGACAAACACAGCAAAAUCAUAGGAAGCCAGGACUGCCCACUUGAAGGAUGCUGAGCCAGGAUGGAGAUUCCUCUAGACCCUGAUUCCAUCUCCACAAUCCCCAGCCCAUUCCUCUGCUUUCCUUAUGGCAACACAUGUGACUGCCUCCAGGAGACCUCCAUCAAUGGAGGUUGCAGACAUUGGGGUGUAGACUCGAAUCCACCAGGCAUGGUAGUGCCAUACUUGACGAUCUUAAAACUCAUUUUCACCUUUCCAGCGCUCCCUGGAGAGAUCAAUGGUGAGGAGUUUUGGUUAGCUCUACCCUAAUGGUUAUGCUAUAUACCCUGCAGUUGACAUAUGUGUCUCUCUCCAGCUUGUCCCUGCCUCCAAAUCAGUCUUUACUGAUGUUAACAUUCUUCAACAGGAAAACCAAAUUCAGAAGGAGGUCUAAGCCACUCCCUCCUUGCAUAGUGUCAUGGUAUUCUAUCCCCAGCACCUCCAGGCUGCAAUUUACCUGCAACAUACACCUGCCCUCUGCCCUCUAACCACUCACCCCAGCUCCUCUCAAUGCUUCUUCUGUGUUUCGCUCUUCUGGCCACUACUGGCAGCUUUUCCUAUUAGAAUCUUGCUCCAUGAACCUCAUGGAGACUUACCCACACGAAGUCACAAAACAUCCCUUUCUUCAAUCUACCCCUACCCUUUUGUUUUAUAGGACCUUCUUCAAGAUCCCAUCCUACAUGUCCCUGUAACAUCACUGUCACAAGUUAAUCUGUGCUAAUCCCCCACCUUCUCUGGUGCAACAACACUACCAGUUCCUGAGUUAUACCCCGUUUUAAAGGCUUCUACACCUCCAUAAUGACUGUUUCCCAGCUUUAUCUCUAUGAGCCUGAAGAACUUACAUUAGAGCUGGGCGAUCUAAAGAAAUGAGAACUCUUCAUCUCUCUUCUCAUGGGUCUUACCAACUUGAUGGAUGCUUCUGGGGCAGUCAGAACAGCCUUCCUCUAAACACAGCAUGGCCAGUGACUUCCAAGAUAAAGUGACAAGGCCAUGGCUUCCACCACAGACAGUCUUGAGUCCCUCCAGUGAUAAAUCACCUCCUUGCAUGGAUUGUUCUCUAAAACUAGAGAGCCCUGGACUUAAGGACUGAUGAACAGGGAGGGAUUUGCCCUGUGUUAGGGGAAAAAUGUUGCUUCUCCAUCAGUAAAUCUGGGCUAGUGGAACCAGACAUACAAAUGCUCAAAGAUCUCAGGUGAGAUCUCUGGGCAUGCUAUGCACCCAACACCCUCUGGUAGAUUGCCUUCUCCCCACCUUUGAACCCAGACUGGACCUUUGGAGCCGUACUGCUCCUGGCGCCCUACUCAUCAGCACCUCUAAACCCGUCGAUUUGAACAUUGCAAGAAUCAAUGCCACCUGGGCUCUGGUUCGGUAUCAAACCAUUCCCCACAUAGAAGCUGACAACUAUGACACCGCUAACCCCAUUAAUAAAAAAAGUGGGGGGAUGUGGGUCAAAUACCAUGGUGGUGGUUGCAGGGGGUGGGGGAGUGACGAGCCUGGAACAAGAGUGAGAUCAAGACAGAUUCAAACCUUGAAAUUCUUACCUUGAGACUAGCAGUAGUAAGGACGGCUCCCUCCCUGUUGUGGGCCUGCAUGCCCCUUGGUAUAUAGCCCUGUGACACUGACGUCCAGCACCUUUGAUGUAGUCAUGUGGCCUGAUAGCCACAUUACAGGUUUAACCUCCUCUCUCCCUUUACAAACGUGUCUAGCAAGCACCGAAAAUUUCUCUUCAGGAGAUCCCAGCAUCUCAGCCCCAGCCAAUAAUGUAUAGUUAUGUUGAAAACUCAAAGCCGCUCCUUGAGGUUUGCACAACUCUUAUUACCUCCAGAAUUAAAGAAUCUGUGAAUAGUGAAAA